rnacentral:rRNA from 1 species
ACGAACGCUGGCGGCGUGCCUAAUACAUGCAAGUCGAACGCUUCUUUCCUCCCGAGUGCUUGCACUCAAUUGGAAAGAGGAGUGGCGGACGGGUGAGUAACACGUGGGUAACCUACCCAUCAGAGGGGGAUAACACUUGGAAACAGGUGCUAAUACCGCAUAACAGUUUAUGCCGCAUGGCAUAAGAGUGAAAGGCGCUUUCGGGUGUCGUUGAUGGAUGGACCCGCGGUGCAUUAGCUAGUUGGUGAGGUAACGGCUCACCAAGGCCACGAUGCAUAGCCGACCUGAGAGGGUGAUCGGCCACACUGGGACUGAGACACGGCCCAGACUCCUACGGGAGGCAGCAGUAGGGAAUCUUCGGCAAUGGACGAAAGUCUGACCGAGCAACGCCGCGUGAGUGAAGAAGGUUUUCGGAUCGUAAAACUCUGUUGUUAGAGAAGAACUAGGACGUUAGUAACUGAACGUCCCCUGACGGUAUCUAACCAGAAAGCCACGGCUAACUACGUG